GUAAAUUUAUUUAUUUUGUAAUGUAAAAAGGGCAAAUAUAAUUUUAAAUUGUUAAUUAAAUUAAAAUAUAUAUUAAAUACUGAAAAAAAUUUAUUCAUUUUAAAAAGAUAAAUGAAAAUGAUACUUAUAAUUGCUAUAAGCAUUUUCAUGCUGAUCAAGUGUAUCAUUAUUCUUGGCUUUUGUUUGUGUGUAUGUUGUCAAUGGAUUUUGCAAAUCCUCAAUAGUGAAUCAGAAAGCCCAUUAUACCACAGUCACUUGCUAUUUUUCAAUAUGGAGAACAAUGCAUUCUUGGAGCAUAUUGGCCUAGUGAUGAAAUCUGACAUUUCCACUUCCACCCAUUGAGACACACUUGAGCAUUUGUG
rnacentral:lncRNA from 1 species